GGCGUGCGUAGUAUAGCGGUAUUACAUUCUCUUAUCAAAGCGAAGGACUUGGGUUCGAAUCCCAACCACUCACCA